GACGAACGCUGGCGGCGUGCCUAAUACAUGCAAGUAGAACGCUGAAGGAGGAGCUUACUUCUCUGGAUGAGUUGCGAACGGGUGAGUAACGCGUAGGUAACCUGCCUGGUAGCGGGGGAUAACUAUUGGAAACGAUAGCUAAUACCGCAUAAGAGUAGAUGUUGCAUGACAUUUACUUAAAAGGUGCAAUUGCACCACUACCAGAUGGACCUGCGUUGUAUUAGCUAGUUGGUGGGGUAACGGCUUACCAAGGCGACGAUACAUAGCCGACCUGAGAGGGUGAUCGGCCACACUGGGACGGAGACACGGCCCAGACUCCUACGGGAGGCAGCAGUAGGGAAGCUUCGGCAAUGGACGGAAGUCUGACCGAGCAACGCCGCGUGAGUGAAGAAGGUUUUCGGAUCGUAAAGCUCUGUUGUAAGAGAAGAACGAGUGUGAGAGUGGAAAGUUCACACUGUGACGGUAUCUUACCAGAAAGGGACGGCCAACUACGUGCCAGCAGCCGCCGUAA
rnacentral:rRNA from 1 species